GCCAGGCACCGCGCCUGCGUUCUCCGAAAAUGCCGGCCCAUGUCCGCGACUGCGCCCCUCGGAAUGACCGCAAUGAAGAAUCCUUCUACUUUUGAGUACGACGGUAUUCCUGGGUCUCCACUCAGGUCUUGCAUGACUGACAGUGGUGAAAACUGAGAGGAAGCUACUGACGUUAUGAUAGAAAUCCUGAACACCGCCAGAGAUGGAGGACCUUCAUUGCUGCCUUAAACACCAGUGGCGUAAUGAACAGAGCUACUGCUGAAGAAAUCCUGAGUGGUUGCAUCACGGUCUGCUUCAGCAACUCGAGUGCACAGAAAAGAAAGAAGAGCAGAGAGCAGCAGACUCAGCCCAGUACAUCACUGACACAUCCCUCCCUCCAUCAGUAGUAUCUACAGAAGACACUACCUCAAGCAGGCAACUUGUAGCAAAGAUCCCCACCAUCCAGGCCAUGUCGUCUUUUCUCAGCUCCAGAAGCCUGAAGUCUCACACCAACAGAUUCAGCAACAGUUACUUCCCUUCAAGCACUUAUUCUUGAAACAACUGGCGAAACCCUAAUCAUUACAUUAUGACCACUUGGAUCACUUUGCACUAAAAUGGACUUUUACUCAUUCUAAUUGUGUUACUUUCUUGUAUGAGCAAUGUCCAAUUUAUGUUUAAUUUGUUUUUCUUAUGAAUACUCCUUACAUAAUGCUAUUAGCCUGUGAUGCUGCUACAAGUAAUUUUUCAUUGCAGGAUUAAUAAAACUUUCCCCCUAUUAACAACCAAUCUGAACCUGAGUCAGGACACAUAAAUGUGUUUUACUUCUGACAUGAUCAUCUCCAUAAAUAUAUCUAUUGAUCCACUU